rnacentral:rRNA from 1 species
CUACGGGUUGCUGCAGUGGGGAAUUUUGCGCAAUGGGGGAAACCCUGACGCAGCAAUACCGCGUGAGUGAAGAAGGCAUUUGGGUCGUAAAGCUCUUUUCUUGGGGAAGAUAGUGACGGUACCCAAGGAAUAAGCACCGGCUAACUCCGUGCCAGCAGCCGCGGUAAUACGGAGGGUGCAAGCGUUGUUCGGAUUUACUGGGCGUAAAGGGCACGUAGGCGGCACAGCAAGUUAAGGGUGAAAUCCCGGGGCUCAACUCCGGAACUGCUCUUAAAACUGCUGAGCUAGAGAUAGUCAGAGGCGGGUGGAAUUCCAGGUGUAGAGGUGAAAUUCGUAGAUAUCUGGAGGAACACCGGUAGCGAAGGCGGCCCGCUGGGGCUAUUCUGACGCUAAGGUGCGAAAGCGUGGGGAGCAAACGGGAUUAGAUACCCGCGUAGUC